GAUGAACGCUGGCGGCGUGCUUAACACAUGCAAGUCGAACGAAGCACUUACCAAGGAUUUCUUCGGGAAUGACUAAUAAGUGACUUAGUGGCGGACGGGUGAGUAACGCGUGGGUAACCUGCCCUAUGCAGGGGGAUAACAGUUAGAAAUGACUGCUAACACCGCAUAAGCGCACAGUAUCGCAUGAUACAGUGUGAAAAUAUUUAUAGGCAUAGGAUGGACCCGCGUCUGAUUAGCUAGUUGGUGAGGUAACGGCCCACCAAGGCGACGAUCAGUAGCCGGCUUGAGAGAGUGAACGGCCACAUUGGGACUGAGACACGGCCCAA
rnacentral:rRNA from 1 species